UUUUUUUGUGCCUUUAUUUUGAAUAGCCCACUCUUAUUCUGUUACUUCCUUUAUUGCUGAUGCUUAACUUCCUGCUGCCGUUCCGUCUGACAACAGCAUGCUCACGUUACUCCAGGACUGGAGAGUCACUACGAGCUGUGUGUGGAAGCUAGGCUAACAAGGCGCCCUUGGAAGCGGAAGGAGGUAGGAGGAGACCAGAGUUUUCACGGUGUCAAAAUUGUGAGGAGAAAAGGAGGAGAGAAUUAAAGUUGCACCAGUCGAAGCGCUCUGCAUCUUGUCAUUAAUCCAAGUGGGCCGCUACAAUAAUGGUUGCAUGAAUGUCUGGUGCCCCUCAGACCAGGUCCUGGCAUGCCCGGGUCGGUGGGAGAGGUCAGGACUUUUCCAGCUGCCAGCCGGGCGUAUUUUAGCAGCACUGAGAGCAGCAGGUCCCACAUAGCUCGCAAAGUGAGCUCGCCCAGCUUGUGGUGCUCAUACACGUAAGGCUGCAGCACCUCCUUCACAUUUUGAAGGAACUGACGUAUGAUGAGCAGAGUGGCCAGCAUCUGAGGACAGGGACACACAGGAAGAACAGUAAGCAAUAUUCCCAACGCACCAGAAAAGGACACACUGUUCACUAAGUCAAAAAGUGUAAAUCUGUGGCAAAUAUUAAUACAGUAUGAUUUUCAUUAUUUGGUUGUAAGACAGGUGAAACCAUCUCAGGUAUGAGAGUUCUAUUUGUAAUAUCAGUGACUCAAUAUCCUCAUAUUCUUCCAGGAAAGUAAUAUCCAUUCCAGUUUAUGAAUAAUGAAAGUGUCCGUAAUUGUCUUAAAGCUCGCUCUCGAAUCCUCCACACACCAGCGACACAUCACCAGAACAAUUUGUACACGUUUUCAAAAUCUCAGCAUUAUAUAACCAUUUAUUACAUUUAAAAUGAGGUAAUUCCAUCAAAUUUGCUGCCAUUUGCUUGUAACUUUAAUAAACACUUUUUUUUAAGGAAUAAGAAGACAUAAUGAACCUUUUUGAGUUUCUUGAACACGAUUAGUUGUUUUUUUUCAAACUCUCAAUCUGACAAUACAAAUAUCAAACUACUCAAAACAUGUACUGUCCAUCUCAGACAACUGUAUCCGAUUGUUGUAUAACGUUCCUAAGCAGAAAGUCGUUUUGGAGUAACAGGACUGAAAGUAACACGCGGGAAUUUUUAGCCUAGAAUCAGAACUGCAUUUACCAUAAAUUCCGGACUAUAAGCCACUACUUUUUUCUUAAACUUUGAACCCUGCGGCUUAUAAUACAGAGCGGCUAAUUUAAGAAUUUAUGGACGGCAAUAAUAAAAAUAGUUUUAUUUUAAAAAAAAAACUGGCAAAAACAUUUAUAGUGUGUUUUAUUG